rnacentral:pre_miRNA from 1 species
UAGACAGAUUAUUGUAUUCGACUGUAUUCACGACGUAAAAUAGGGGAUUACACUGUUUUUAAAACGGAAAGUGAAUCAAUUAACAUAAUAGACUCCU